GACGAACGCUGGCGGGCGUGCCUAACACAUGCAAGUCGAGCGGGGUUGAAGCGAGGGGUAACUCGAGUUUCUACCUAGCGGCGGACGGGUGAGUAACGCGUGGGCAACCUGCCUCAAGGACUGGGAUAACAGCUCGAAAGGGCUGCUAAUACCGGAUAAGCCUAUGGCCUCGCAUGGGGCCAUGAGCAAAGGGGAAACCCGCCUUGAGAUGGGCCCGCGUCCCAUCAGCUAGUUGGUGAGGUGAAGGCUCACCAAGGCGACGACGGGUAGCCGGCCUGAGAGGGUGACCGGCCACACUGGGACUGAGACACGGCCCAGACUCCUACGGGGGGCAGCAGUGGGGAAUCUUGCACAAUGGGCGAAAGCCUGAUGCAGCGACGCCGCGUGAGCGAAGAAGGCCUUCGGGUUGUAAAGCUCUGUCUGGAGGGACGAAGGAAGUGACGGUACCUCCGGAGGAAGCCACGGCUAACUACGUG
rnacentral:rRNA from 1 species